AUUGAACGCUGCCGGAAUGCUUUACACAUGCAAGUCGAACGGCAGCACGGGGGCAACCCUGGUGGCGAGUGGCGAACGGGUGAGUAAUACAUCGGAACGUGCCCAGUCGUGGGGGAUAACGUAGCGAAAGUUACGCUAAUACCGCAUACGAUCUACGGAUGAAAGCGGGGGACCGUAAGGCCUCGCGCGGUUUGAGCGGCCGAUGUCAGAUUAGGUAGUUGGUGAGGUAAAGGCUCACCAAGCCGACGAUCUGUAGCUGGUCUGAGAGGACGACCAGCCACGCUGGGACUGAGACACGGCCCAGACUCCUACGGGAGGCAGCAGUGGGGAAUUUGGGACAAUGGGCGCAAGCCUGAUCCAGCCAUUCCGCGUGCAGGACGAAGGCCUUCGGGUUGUAAACUGCUUUUGUACAGAACGAAAAGGCUCUGGUUAAUACCUGGGGCUCAUGACGGUACCGUAAGAAUAAGCACCGGCUAACUACGUGCCAGCAGCCGCGGUAA
rnacentral:rRNA from 1 species